rnacentral:rRNA from 1 species
UACAGAGGUCUCAAGCGUUGUUCGGAUUCAUUGGGCGUAAAGGGUGCGUAGGUGGCGCCGUAAGUCAGGUGUGAAAUCUCGGGGCUCAACCCCGAAACUGCACUUGAUACUGCGGUGCUCGAGUACUGGAGAGGAGAUUGGAAUUUACGGUGUAGCAGUGAAAUGCGUAGAUAUCGUAAGGAAGACCAGUGGCGAAGGCGAUCUCUGGACAGUUACUGACACUGAGGCACGAAGGCCAGGGGAGGCAAACGGG